UACGAAGGGUGCAAGCGUUAAUCGGAAUUACUGGGCGUAAAGGGUGCGUAGGCGGUUGUUUAAGUCUGUCGUGAAAUCCCCGGGCUCAACCUGGGAAUGGCGAUGGAUACUGGGCAGCUAGAGUGUGUCAGAGGAUGGUGGAAUUCCCGGUGUAGCGGUGAAAUGCGUAGAGAUCGGGAGGAACAUCAGUGGCGAAGGCGGCCAUCUGGGACAACACUGACGCUGAAGCACGAAAGCCUGGGGAGCAAACAGG
rnacentral:rRNA from 1 species